CCUACGGGGGGCAGCAGUGAGGAAUAUUGGUCAAUGGGCGCGAGCCUGAACCAGCCAAGUAGCGUGAAGGAGGAAGGCCCUGCGGGUUGUAAACUUCUUUUAUAAAGGAAUAAAGUGAGGCACGUGUGCCUUGUUGUAUGUACUUUAUGAAAAAGCAUCGGCUAACUCCGUGCCAGCAGCCGCGGUAAUACGGAGGAUGCGAGCGUUAUCCGGAUUUAUUGGGGUUAAAGGGAGCGUAGGUGGGUUGUUAAGUCAGGUGUUAAAGUCUGCGGCUCAACCGUCAAAUUGCCAUUGAUACUGGCAGUCUUGAGUUGGGUUGAGGUAUGCGGAAUUCGUGGUGUAGCGGUGAAAUGCAUAGAUAUCACGAAGAACUCCGAUUGCGAAGGCAGCUUACCAGCUUCCCACUGACGUUGAUGCUCGAAAGUGUGGGUAUCGAACAGGAUUAGAUACCCGUGUAGUC
rnacentral:rRNA from 1 species